ACUCAAAUGAAUAGACGGGGACCCGCACAAACGGUGGAGCAUGUGGUUUAAUACGACGAUACGCGUGGAACCUUACCCAGACUUGACAUGUAUUUGAAAUCCCUAUGAAAGUAGGGCCCCCUAGCAAUAGGCAGAUACACAGGUGUUGCAUGGCUGUCGUCAGCUCGUGUCGUGAGAUGUUGGGUUAAGUCCCGCAACGAGCGCAACCCUUAUCCUUAGUUGCCACCUGCGUCUUCGGACGCAGCGCACUCUAAAGAGACUGCCGCUGAUAAAGCGGAGGAAGGUGGGGAUGACGUCAAGUCAGUACGGCCCUUACGUCUGGGGCUACACACGUGCUACAAUGGCCGAUACAAUAGGUUGCAAGACCGCGAGGUGGAGCUAAUCCCUAAAAUCGGCCUCAGUUCAGAUUGCAGGCUGCAACUCGUCUGCAUGAAGCUGGAAUCGUUAGUAAUCCCGUAUCAGACACGACGGGGUGAAUACGUUCCCGGGUCUUGUACACACCGCCCGU
rnacentral:rRNA from 1 species